rnacentral:rRNA from 1 species
UACGUAGGGGGCAAGCGUUGUCCGGAAUCAUUGGGCGUAAAGAGCGUGUAGGCGGCCUGAUAAGUCCGCUGUGAAAUCUCGAGGCUCAACUUCGAGCUGUCGGUGGAAACUGGCUGGCUAGAGUCCGGAAGAGGAGAAUGGAAUUCCUGGUGUAGCGGUGAAAUGCGCAGAUAUCAGGAAGAACACCCGUGGCGAAGGCGGUUCUCUGGGACGGUACUGACGCUGAGACGCGAAAGCGUGGGGAGCGAACAGG